GGACAUCUGCUAGGACAGCAACCAUGGCGUAGGAAAGGUGUUCGAUCUAUUGCCUCUUUGGCUGUGCAUAUAUUGGUGUGCUCUUUCAUGUGCAAUAUUAACUUGCUCUUUUUUGCAGGGUUGGUUCAACCAUUAUUAGAUGAUAUUCCAGCGAUUACUCAAUAUAUAUGAUUGUAGAGAGUAAUGACAAUCUCUGCUUAAAGAUAAUGUGCUCCAUCGACCUUUGAUAUCAUAUAGCAUGUUACUUUAUAUACUUCAAUAAAUAUCCAUUAUACGGUUGCAAUGGUUGUAUUUGUUUAUUUAUUUACCUUUGGUCAGAUUGAGAUUUGGAACUAUCACUUUGCUUAUUUCAUAUGUCUACUGAAUUAACCUGGCUUUGAAGCCUGAUGUCCCUCUAUAUUUUGAAUUUAAUAGUUUUGCUUUUUAUUCCAAGUUUGGAUGCUAUUUUUUCAGAAGCUUAUUAAUUUUUCAGAAGCUUAUUAAAUAUUAGUUGGAACAGGGUAGAAUUGAAGCUCUUUCUAUGCUUCCAAUAGCUUGACUGCAUCUUAUCUGGUGUCUUUUUUCUCGAACCAUCUUAUCUGGUGCUAAUUCAACAGAAGUCAUGUCUGCAAAUUUUGUCAGAGGCCGUUAGACUGCAUAGAAUGUUGACAAGGAUGCGGCUCCUCUCUUCCAGAAAGGUGUCAGAUUGUAUGAUGGCUUUGCCAAGCAGUCGGUCAGUUAUAAGAAGCUCCUGUUCAGAAUUACAGAGCAAGGAGGAUACAAUUGGUUUCACAUUAGAAAAUAUCAGCUCCAUGAAGAUAUAAGUUCUACAGAUAUAAAUCCUCCAUACAAAAUUAUUCACUUAUGUAUUUGUUUUUAUUUGUGUGUGUGAUUAACAUAUCAACAUACAUCAUUCUUCUAUUAUAAUCUAUCGAAAACAUGCAAGA